CAGCCGCCGCGGUAAUACGUAGGGUGCGAGCGUUCAUCGGAUUUACUGGGCGUAAAGCGUGCGCAGGCGGCCCGUUAAGACAGGUGUGAAAUCCCUGGGCUCAACCUAGGAAUUGCGCUUGUGACUGGCGGGCUCGAGUACGGUAGAGGGGGGUGGAAUUCCUGGUGUAGCAGUGAAAUGCGUAGAGAUCAGGAGGAACACCGAUGGCGAAGGCAGCCCCCUGGGCCUGUACUGACGCUCAUGCACGAAAGCGUGGGGAGCAAACAGGAUUAGAUACCCUGGUAGUCGACGCCCUAAACGAUGGGUACUAGCCGUUUGGUGCGCGAGAGCGCUGAGUGGCGAAGCUAACGCGUGAAGUACCCCGCCUGGGGAGUACGGCCGCAAGGUUGAAACUUAAAGGAAUUGGCGGG
rnacentral:rRNA from 1 species